rnacentral:rRNA from 1 species
UACGUAGGUGGCAAGCGUUGUCCGGAAUUAUUGGGCGUAAAGCGCGCGCAGGCGGUCCUUUAAGUCUGAUGUGAAAAGCCCACGGCUCAACCGUGGAAGGUCAUUGGAAACUGGAGGACUUGAGUACAGAAGAGGAAAGCGGAAUUCCACGUGUAGCGGUGAAAUGCGUAGAGAUGUGGAGGAACACCAGUGGCGAAGGCGGCUUUCUGGUCUGUAACUGACGCUGAGGCGCGAAAGCGUGGGGAGCAAACAGG